rnacentral:rRNA from 1 species
CAGUAGCCGCGGUAAUACGAAGGGUGCAAGCGUUAAUCGGAAUUACUGGGCGUAAAGCGUGCGUAGGCGGUGAGUUAAGUCUGCUGUGAAAUCCCCGGGCUCAACCUGGGAAUGGCAGUGGAUACUGGCUCGCUAGAGUGUGUCAGAGGAUGGUGGAAUUCCCGGUGUAGCGGUGAAAUGCGUAGAGAUCGGGAGGAACAUCAGUGGCGAAGGCGGCCAUCUGGGACAACACUGACGCUGAGGCACGAAAGCGUGGGGAGCGAACAGGAUUAGAUACCCCGGUAGUCCCUGUCUCUUAUAC